GGCCAGGGCCCAUGUGCUUGUGCAGGGGUGUGGAUUUGUAUGUGUUCAUGUCUGUGUGGGUGGGUGUGUUUGUAAUGGGUUACGUGUGUGCCCACAAUCGGGCACAGGUAUUUGCUCAUGCACAUAUCCAUGUCCGUAUGUCUGGUGGUGUGCACAUGUGUGCACACAGGUGUAUGUGUGUACAGAGCACAGAGGGCAGCUUGAGGGUUGGAAAGAAGCAGGGCCUUGUGUACUCCUAGGUGCUCUAAAUGGAAAGCCCUUCCGCCCUCCCCACCCACUAGAUGGCCCUCAGGCCUCAGCUCUGACCCGACCGCCCCAGGGGCAGGUAUCCCAGGGCCCAGGUGCUGUUUGCAGUCAUUUCUUUAUUCCCUCCAUCUCCUGAAGCUAAGCUGGCCAACCCUAGGAUCCCUCACUGGAAGCCAGAGAGGUCAGAUCAGGACCUGUCCAGGACUGCUGGGGUCUGUCUACCUUCCUUUUCAGCCAGGCCCCAACCCCAUCCUGGUGCCACCAGGCCACGCCCUUCCACAGUCUGUGGCAGAAAAGCUGUGGCUGGAGGCGAGAGUAAAGCCAGCUCAAGGCCAUCCCCUCCUGGGACCCCCAGCCUUGGGCAGGGGGAGGGGGUUGGAUGGGCCCAGCCCUGAGCUUUGCUGCCCCCAACUGCCCAGGAGUAAGGCACCGGUGGGGACUGUCCCAGGAAGGCCAGACAGAGCCGAGUGUUUUCUGGCAGCACCUGCAUUUACACCCCACCACCCACUUCCAGCACCCCCAACUCCAUCACCAGCACCCCCACCUCUUGUGCAGCUGGGAUCUGGAGCACUAGGAAGUCCCCCUGUGGCUGGGCCCCACCCCUGGCUCUUCCUGUCCACCCAACCAGCAUUCCGCCAUCUGCUUACCAUCCAGAUGUGCUCUGUGGCCCUUGGGGGCCCCAGGGGUAGGUACUGUGUCAACAAGCUUUGAAGGAGGCUAGUGACCAGAGCUCCAGAGGCUGGCUGAAUUCCAGGUUCCAGUGACUGCAAGGCUUGGGGACAGUGGGAG
rnacentral:lncRNA from 1 species